AGGUGCUGCAUGGCUGUCGUCAGCUCGUGUCGUGAGAUGUUGGGUUAAGUCCCGCAACGAGCGCAACCCUUGUCAUUAGUUGCUACGAAAGGGCACUCUAAUGAGACUGCCGGUGACAAACCGGAGGAAGGUGGGGAUGACGUCAAGUCCUCAUGGCCCUUAUGGGUAGGGCUUCACACGUCAUACAAUGGUACAUACAGAGGGCCGCCAACCCGCGAGGGGGAGCUAAUCCCAGAAAGUGUAUCGUAGUCCGGAUUGUAGUCUGCAACUCGACUACAUGAAGUUGGAAUCGCUAGUAAUCGCGGAUCAGCAUGUCGCGGUGAAUACGUUCCCGGGUCUUG
rnacentral:rRNA from 1 species